rnacentral:rRNA from 1 species
GACGAACGCUGGCGGCGUGCUUAACACAUGCAAGUCGAACGGAAAGGCCCUGCUCUUGCGGGGUGCUCGAGUGGCGAACGGGUGAGUGACACGUGAGUAACCUGCCCCUGAAUUUGGGGUAACUUCAGGAAACUCGGGCUAAUACCGGAUAGGAGCUCCUGCUGCACGGUGGGGGUUGGAAAGAUUCGGCGGUUGGGGAUGGUAUCGCGGGUUAUCAGCUUGUUGGUGGGGUAGUGGCUUACCAAGGGUAUGACGGGUAGGCCGCCUGAGAGGUUGACCGGCCACAUUGGGACUGAGAUACGGCGCAGACUCCUACGGGAGGCAGCAGUGGGGAAUAUUGCACAGUGGGCGGAAGUCUGAUGCAGCAACGCCGCGUGCGGGAUGACGGCCUUCGGGUUGUAAACCGCUGUGGCCUGUGACGAGGCGUGAGUGACGGUAAUGGGUAAAGAAGCACCGGCUAACUACGUG